UGCAGUCGAGCGGUAAGGCCCCUUCGGGGGUACCGAGCGGCGAACGGGUGAGUAACACGUGAGUAACCUGCCCCAUUCUUCGGAAUAACCAGUGGAAACGCUGGCUAAUGCCGAAUAUGACCAUCGAAGGCAUCUUCUGGUGGUGGAAAGCUCCGGCGGAGUGGGAUGGACUCGCGGCCUAUCAGCUUGUUGGUGAGGUAACGGCUCACCAAGGCGACGACGGGUAGCCGGCCUGAGAGGGUGACCGGCCACACUGGGACUGAGACACGGCCCAGACUCCUACGGGAGGCAGCAGUGGGGAAUAUUGGACAAUGGGCGAAAGCCUGAUCCAGCAACGCCGCGUGAGGGAUGACGGCCUUCGGGUUGUAAACCUCUUUCAGCAGGGACGAAGCGAAAGUGACGGUACCUGCAGAAGAAGGACCGGCCAACUACGUGCCAGCAGCCGCGGUAAUACGUAGGGUCCGAGCGUUGUCCGGAAUUAUUGGGCGUAAAGGGCUCGUAGGCGGUUUGUCGCGUCGGGAGUGAAAACUCAGGGCUCAACCCUGAGCGUGCUUACGAUACGGGCAAACUAGAGGUAUGCAGGGGAGAACGGAAUUCCUGGUGUAGCGGUGGAAUGCGCAGAUAUCAGGAGGAACACCGGUGGCGAAGGCGGUUCUCUGGGCAUUACCUGACGCUGAGGAGCGAAAGCAUGGGGAGCGAACAGGAUUAGAUACCCUGGUAGUCCAUGCCGUAAACGUUGGGCGCUAGGUGUGGGGACCUUCCACGGUCUCCGUGCCGCAGCUAACGCAUUAAGCGCCCCGCCUGGGGAGUACGGCCGCAAGGCUAAAACUCAAAGGAAUUGACGGGGGCCCGCACAAGCGGCGGAGCAUGCUGAUUAAUUCGAUGCAACGCGAAGAACCUUACCUGGGUUUGACAUAUG
rnacentral:rRNA from 1 species